UAGUUUGACUGGGGCGGUCUCCUCCCAAAGAGUAACGGAGGAGCACGAAGGUGGGCUAAUCACGGUUGGACAUCGUGAGGUUAGUGCAAUGGCAUAAGCCCGCUUGACUGCGAGAAUGACAAUUCGAGCAGGUGCGAAAGCAGGUCAUAGUGAUCCGGUGGUUCUGAAUGGAAGGGCCAUCGCUCAACGGAUAAAAGGUACUCCGGGGAUAACAGGCUGAUACCGCCCAAGAGUUCAUAUCGACGGCGGUGUUUGGCACCUCGAUGUCGGCUCAUCACAUCCUGGGGCUGAAGUCGGUCCCAAGGGUAUGGCUGUUCGCCAUUUAAAGUGGUACGCGAGCUGGGUUUAGAACGUCGUGAGACAGUUCGGUCCCUAUCUGCCGUGGGCGUUGGAUGAUUGAAGGGGGCUGCUCCUAGUACGAGAGGACCGGAGUGGACGAACCUCUGGUGUUCGGGUUGUCACGCCAGUGGCAUUGCCCGGUAGCUAAGUUCGGAAUCGAUAAACGCUGAAAGCAUCUAAGCGUGAAGCGAGCCCUGAGAUGAGUCAUCCCUGAUACUUUAAGUAUCCUAAAGGGUUGUUGGAGACUACGACGUAGAUAGGUCAGGUGUGUAAGUGCUGCGAGGCAUUGAGCUAACUGAUACUAAUUGCCCGUGAGGCUUAACCAU
rnacentral:rRNA from 1 species